AGACAAAAACAGUAUGGCUCCACUAUCAUCCCUGAACAGAGGCAAAACCGAAGACUCAGCACCACCACAGGUGUGACCCACCAUCCCCUCUGGAGGCCAACGGGUGGACCAAAUGCAGUGGCAGGUGGAUGUGAACUGCAACUGACUGAACCAGGUGCACAAGAAACACCCAUCUCUUUAUUCAGUGAGCAUCUGCACCCCAUGCAGCAAACAACCACGGAAGCAGGAACAUGCAAAGGGUCCCGCUAGCUGGCUGGAACAGAACACAGAGAGAACAACCCAGGAGCAGCCGUGUGACUGUGGACUCGUGGCUCACCUUAUCCGUGACCAGUUGACUCCUCUGAAGUGA